rfam:Bacillus alcalophilus ATCC 27647 = CGMCC 1.3604 strain AV1934 contig00022, whole genome shotgun sequence.
AAACUCUUUAAAACAGUCCAGAGAGGCUGGCAAGAGCAAAGUAGAUAACCGUCAUGACUAUUUGUGUGACGGGGUUAUCUCCUGAACCCUCUUAGCCACACUGGUUAAGAGGGUUUUGCGU